GAGCUCAAAGUUGGAAUCCGGCUGCCCUAGGUAGUUGGAGUUGUAAACUGGAGAAGUGUUUUCCAGGCGAGCCAAGCGAAUAAGUCCUUUGGAACGGGGCAUCAUAGAGGGUGAGAAUCCCGUCUUUGGCUUGAGCUAUUCGUCUAUUGCGAUACACUUUCAAAGAGUCAGGUUGUUUGGGAAUGCAGCCUAAAUUGGGUGGUAAAUCUCACCUAAAGCUAAAUAUUGGCGAGAGACCGAUAGCGAACAAGUACCGUGAGGGAAAGAUGAAAAGAACUUUGAAAAGAGAGUUAAACAGUAUGUGAAAUUGUUGAAAGGGAACCGUUUGGAGCCAGACCGGCCGUUCUAUAAUCAAUCUCUGCCUCGGUGGGGAUGCACUUGUAGGGCGUUGGCCUGCCAACAGCAAUUUUGCCUGAUGGAAAAAACUAAAAGGAAUGUGGCCCCUCGGGGUGUUAUAGCCUUUUGGAAAAUACAUCGGGCGGGAUUGAGGACUGCAGUAAAUGC
rnacentral:rRNA from 1 species